rnacentral:RNase_P_RNA from 2 species
AGAGUUAAAUUCAUCGGAGGGGCUACGAGCGGACUGCGUCCGGCGCACGUUAACGCGACCCUUGGGAUAGUCUGAGACUAGGGCCAACACCGGGAGAUGAGUUCCUCGAGAGCCAGGUGCCCCAGGGCAGACUGAGCAGCAGGCUCCGGAACCGCCGGCAGGCAGCACCCGGCGGAUCCCUCCUUAGCCUGAGGAUGUUAGAAAAGGGCCGGCCGAAAGGAAAGUGUUCAGUGGGGCACCGCAACCCUGGGCUCCUAACGCAAUUCAGCCUCCUCU